UUGACAUACCUUUGUAAGAUGUGUUAAUUAAGCUGGGAAGCAAUGACAUUUAGAAGUAAAGUUCAAAUAAUAUUCUCAAUGCAAAUGCACCUGCUAAUUAGAUUUUUUUCUUCUGUAACACAUCACUUUCCUAGUUCUGUUUUAUCUGCAGGUUGGAAGCUGCCUUAAAAUCAAGUCUUGGUUUUGAGUGUUUUCUGAGGCCAUACAUAUCAGUUGUCUUUGGCUUACUCAGGGAUUCUUAUUCCUUUGUUUAAAUGUCAAAUAAUGAAAAUAUUUUUGUAUUAUUUAGAAAAUUUCAGACCUCAGAGAGUGAGAGAUGCAUUUAUAUAUAUAUAUAAAUAGAUUUCAUUUUGCAAUACAGUCUGUAAUAUCAUGUCAAACUAUUCCACUUGAGAAUGUUUUAGUACUCGAGGUUAUCUGUAACAGUACAGUGCGUUAAUUUCCUUUCUUUUCCUGAUUCCUUAUAAACUAUAUGAGAUACUCUUGCGGUCGUCUUAGCUGUGUUCUCUCUGCUGUUCACUAUUUUCAGUUUCUGAGUUCAGAAAGAUCUGAAAUUAAAAUGCUAGAAUAAUGAGCAUAAAGGGAAGAAAUAGAUCGGCAUUUAUUUUACUUUCAGAAGAAUGUUACGAGUGGAGAGAAAAGCAUGCAUCUCAACUCCUACAUUAUAGUUUCAUUUAAACCAUUUGGAUUCUAUCAGAACAGAUUAAAUCAAAGCGGUUCUUCAUUUUUUACAUACAGCAAAACUAGGUGUAUUUCGACCAUUUUAAGAUGAGAGAGUCCAAUCUCCAUUUCUCUGUAGAGGAAAAAAUAGGAAUUAUAAUGUUUGCUUUUCUCUGUAGUUAAGGAAAAAAACACGCAGGAGCCAGGCAGAGUAAGGAUACCAAAGUCUUUCUAUCCAUAUAAAAAUAUGGUCAUUUGAACAAUAUGUAACAAACAGGUUUUCAUUAAUGAUAUGUAGCACAGCCAGUUGAAAUGAAAAAUCUAAUCCUGUAACCUCAUCCAAUGAAAUGUAAAUUUUAAACAACUAUUCUCAUUAUAGGAAGUCUUACGUUACAUUGAAGUCAUGUCAUUUAUUUUACAGUCAUUAAUUUUUUUGAGGAAAUGGGGUGAACUUUGUAAGAAAUUUAAAAGAUGUUUUUCUUUUGGGACAUACAGAUAUUUGGCUUUUUUAACUGUACUCUGAAGAAACCAUCAGACUCUUCUAUCACAUUUUCAUUAGCAGGAAAUAUCAUCAGGCAGUUCGAUUAACCUGCUAAGGUAGAUGUUACUGUAUGCUGAGUAUCCAGAUUGCUUUCACCACAUUCAGGAUUAUUUAUUCUUCGAAGAAGUGCUUGCUCACCAGUAUCUGUAUUCAGAUUAAGUGCUUAAAUCUAUUCUAAGUGAGAUGUAUUUCUAAGCCGUCUGGAAAUUGUUAUGUUAAUGUACUGAGGCUCUUUUGCACUGGGUCAGAGCUGGGUGUCCUGCAGAGGCUUUGGGCUGAGCAGAGCUCUGCUGGCUUCUGCUAGGGCAGGCCUCUGGGUUGUGCCAGUUGCAAGGGACUGCUUGCGGUUCAGGCUGAAGCUGCUUUUUCACUUUGACAUCUUUCCCUGCAUUUGGAUAACCUGGAUGGAGGUGCAGAGCAUCAACAGCACUGGCAUUCCCUGCAGUGUGGGGCCUUUGUGGACAUCUUUCUCUGCUAUCUUUGUAGGACCUGUCAGUAACUACACUCUGUACAGCUAAAAUGGCUGUCUUGGUCUUCAGAUGAGACUGAAGUAACGAGAUGUUUUAGCGGUGUGUCACUCUACACUUUCUUGUAUUUCAUGCCUUCAAGUUAGCUCCAGAUUCCAGAUCAGCUAUUUUCAGGUUAGUAUGGCAUCCCUACCAUCUACGUGCUGAGUACAUCUGUAUGGCCAAAUAAAUGUGUGUGUGUGGGGGGGGUUUUGUGCAGACCUAUUAAAUUCUGGUUUGGGGUUUUGUCUUUUUUUUUUUCUCCUUUUUGCUCCAUGCUGCUCUUCUGCUCUUGAGCUUUCAUUAACUGGGUCAAGUUUCUGGGCUCUUAACCAUAUCUGCGGCAGGACCUUUUUUGCCUGCUGUGGACUUCGUGAGCAUAGUUGUGUAUUGAAAGAGCUCGCACAGGAUAUGUAACUGGAAAAUAAUAGUGUGGUUCUUUUUUGUAAAUAUAUUUGCCAUUGAGAGUAGGAAACUGGGUUGGAUACCAGUGAGAGGCAAAAGUUCAGUUUGGGUGCACCUUGAUCUUUUAUCUUUCUCUGGGGCAGUGCAAAUGUGUAUGGAAGGGAGGAUUUUUAUUACUGCUGCUUACUUCAUAAUUCUUCCUGGUAUGAUAGCUUUUUUAUUAUUUACAUAUAUUCAUUGGGUUUGACCAAUGUGAAGUUGUACUUAUUAAACAUAAUAAUUAGCCCAUAUGACGUUCAGUGGUAUACAGAAAGAACAAUCAUUCUGUCAGAAGGUACAAAUUCUCCAGUGAUAGAAUGGUUUCUCUUGCCCCUUAGAUCUGAGAAACCGUUUCAUAUUCAAUAGCCAAACAAUUUGCUGUGCAGACAAUUUGAGUUUUGUUUUUUUCACUAGUUGUGGUAGUUUUGUUCCUGAGCAGACGUUUGCAUCAGUCAUAAUUCUUGGAAUGAUAAUUACGGCACAGUGCCAAGUUGUGCAGGAGAACUACGGAUUACUUUUAUUUUAUAAUCUAUGUUCACCUCUGUUCAUUUUGCUGAAUGAAAGAAUCAUACACAAGGAAACUAGAGAGAGAAUUUCUUUGUAUCUUCUAAUUUUGUAGUGGGUCUGCUCCUGACAUCAGCCUUAGCCCUGUUAAAUCAGGAAACUUGUACGCAUUUUAUGCCAGCACAGGAUUGGGCCAAAAUGCUUUGGUAUUCCAAAAUACUAAGUAUGUUAACAGCCAUAAUUGACAACCAUUUAUGCAGCUACUUGAAAGUCUGGUUUAUUUCUGAAAUGCAAACUGUCAUAAAGCCUGUCCUCUCACUCACAGAACAAUACUAAGUCAGCUAUAAGGAAGAUUGUCUGAAUAGCAUUCUUACUAUAGCAAACAGGGGAUUGAAUUGUAAGUUUUUAAUAUGGGAGGGAUCUUAAUGAUUUGAGUUACCAGUAACAUUGAAAACAACUUCCACAGAAAGGGUUAAAUAAUGUAUUUUAAAAUUCUGCUAUAACAAGUGUACACUUGGGGUAAGAAUUGGAGUUACAGCUGUUUAAUAUUUUUCAGGCUUCACACAUAAACUUUGAAAAGAAGGCACAUGUAUUUAAAAAGUAACAUUGCUGGUAUAUUUGCUGGCUUUUCAUACUGCUGUUACAUGAAAGAAACAGCUGAGCCUUGAUUCAGCUGUAAGACAAGCAGUGUGGUCACUGCUGAAGCUGGCACAUCGCUGCGGAUUUUUUUAAAAUUAAAGAAAUCAAGCUACCGAGUGUGGAUCAUUGCAGUUGCAUAAGAGUAUAACUUCCUUGCUGUUUCUUCCAUGUUCUGUGUACGUGGGCUCAGGAUCUGUACACUUGCUCUCCAGUAAGGAAUGGAGUGCUCAUUCCUUUAGUGCAACUAAUCACUGAUGCUCUUAGCCUGACGUUGAAAAGCCGUAAGGUAGAGAAAUGAAACCAGUGCAUGCUUGAUUGCAAUGAUGAUGAUUUCUUGUAGGCUUUAAUUAGUUUUUCCCUAUUGAAAAGAAAAAAAAAAA
ensembl:lncRNA